CCCAGAUAACCCAGAAUCCUCUGCCUGUUUCAGGGCACCUGAUUAGAGACAUGGAUUCACGUUGGACGGCGAGCUCACGUGUUCACAGGCUGUGGAGAUUGGGAUGAGAGUGAUUCUGCUCCCACUCAUCUCUGGUUGAUGCUGAAUCGCAGAAGAAAGAAGCUGCGGCCACCUGCACGCAGCUGCCCGCCCAGAUGCUCUCGCCAAAUUCAGGGACGUGUCAGUCUCCUUCUCUACCUGUACUGUCCCUCCCAGGCUGCUAUUGGUGUCCAGCGCUGGCCUGCCUUAUCUAAUUCCCUCUGCACAGCUCAAGCAGGAACAGAUGCCAGUUGGGAACAUGCACUGAGGCUGGGAAUAU
rnacentral:lncRNA from 1 species